UACGUAGGAGGCGAGCGUUGUCCGGAGUUACUGGGCGUAAAGGGUGCGUAGGUGGUGAGGUAAGUUUGAUGUGAAAGCUCCGGGCUUAACCCGGAAAUGGCAUUGAAUACUAUCUCGCUUGAGGGUUGGAGGGGAGACUGGAAUUCUUGGUGUAGCAGUGAAAUGCGUAGAUAUCAAGAGGAACACCAGUGGCGAAGGCGAGUCUCUGGACAACUCCUGACACUGAGGCACGAAAGCUAGGGGAGCAAACAGG
rnacentral:rRNA from 1 species